GUCCUAUCAUAAAUAUGUCAGUAAUAAAUAUUUGGGAAAUUCUCACAAGUGGUUUAUUAUCCCUCAUUUAACAAGAUAGAAUCACAAAAAAUAUAAUAUACCCUUGCACAGUUAUGAUCUUUAAAGUUUCACCGACAAGAAAACAGGUUAAAAGAGCCAUGCAAGCUGGUUUGACCGUAGACAUUGUGAAAUUCAAAUUCUAAAAAAAAAAUGGUUUUC
rnacentral:lncRNA from 1 species